GACGAACGCUGGCGGCGUGCUUAACACAUGCAAGUCGAGCGGUAAGGCCCCUUCGGGGGUACACGAGCGGCGAACGGGUGAGUAACACGUGGGUGACCUGCCCUCAGCUCUGGGAUAAGCCUGGGAAACUGGGUCUAAUACCGGAUAUGACUCCAUGACGCAUGUCGUGGGGUGGAAAGCCUUGUGCGGCUGGGGAUGGGCCCGCGGCCUAUCAGCUUGUUGGUGGGGUGAUGGCCUACCAAGGCGACGACGGGUAGCCGGCCUGAGAGGGCGACCGGCCACACUGGGACUGAGGCACGGCCCAGACUCCUACGGGAGGCAGCAGUGGGGAAUCUUGCGCAAUGGGCGAAAGCCUGACGCAGCGACGCCGCGU
rnacentral:rRNA from 1 species